AGCAGAAUUACUCCUGUCUAAAGGAAAUACAGGGACAAAGUAUGGAGCAGAGACUGAAGGAAAGGCCAUCCAGAGACUGCCCCACCUGUGGAUCCAUCCCAUAUACAGACACCAAACCUAGACACUAUACAACUGUGGAUGCUCACAGCCAACCAUUGGACUGAUCACAGGGACUCCAAUGGAGGAGUAAGGUAAAAGACUGAAGGAAAUGAAGUGGUUUGCAACCCCAUAAGAAGAACAACAAUAUCAAGCAACCAGACCCCUCAGAGCUCCCAGUGACUAAAUCACCCACCAACCAAAGAGUACACAUGAGCAAGGGAGGAUUUCCCUUCAGUCGUCAUCCUCCAGACCCCUGGGAAAAAAAUCACCUGGACCAGAGACAAGUAUAACAGCACAUGAAAGAGCCUGAAAUAAUCCCCUAACUUGACCCUGAUUCUAAGACACCUGUCAGAAAGGAGCAGCACCUAUAACUGUGCCAAGUGUCACAUUCCUCAAGCCUGGAUCAUCUCCAGAAAUGACUGAGGCAUGGCUAUCUAUCCAGCAGGAGAUAUUAGACAAGUGAUGCAGAAAAGGAUGAAAAGAGAAAGAUAACUUCCUAUUUGUUCACUGCAUAAUGUAUAAUCAUAGCUUUUGUGGUUCUCACACUACCCAAUUUUCAGUGACAUUUUCUCCCUCUUACAAGAAAGGACUCUGGGAAGUGAGUUAUAUAAAAAUGAUGCUAUUAAGAAAAUGGCUAUGUGACCCAUUAACAGUGCUAAUGAGACCCCUUGACCAAAAGGAAUGGUUUUGGUCUUCUGUUGCUGAAAUCUGAGAUUGUCAUAGAAUCAAGAAUAAGAACAGAUUGCAGUUUGGUCUGAACAGAAGUCAAAGACAGACAUUACCAAUUGGAAGUGUUAUUAUCCAAUAGGACAAUAUGUCCCUCAUAGUCAGAUAAAUAUGGGUAUAAAUCUAGACUCCAAUCCCUAUUUCCUCUGUAACUUUACAUCAUGUACUAAACCUUUCUGAGUCUCAUUUUUCUUACCUAUAAAAUGAAUAAUACAUUUUAAAUAAUAGAUAAAAUGCUUUAUUCUUAAUUGCAGUAUUUAGCAUCAAAUUUUCUAUUAUUAAAAUUAUUCAUCGCUUAAAUGCACAAAAUAACCUACCAGACCAUCUAUUUAACCAGAAACAAUUUGCUUAAAAAUAAUUUUUAAAACCUACCAUGCGAAAAUCUUCA
rnacentral:lncRNA from 1 species